GACUGCCUUUGAUGCCCUGAAGGGAAUUAGAGUCAUCCAUGCGGAAGCCCGACAAUAUAAUGCUGGCAAACCACCUGGAUGAGCCCUUCAAGGUGAAACUCAUAGACUUCGGGGUGUCCUGGGAUGACGGUUCAACCUCUGGGUUACAUGGCACCCGAAGUCACCCUGGGUCUCCCCUUCUCUGAGGUCAUAGACCUGUGGGAUCUUGGCUGUGUGCUUUCGCCUUCUUGUACAUCGGGAACCACCUUUUCUGGAUACACAGUGAGUACCAGAUGAUGUGCGGCAUUGUUGGCGCACUGGACCAACCAGCUGACCACCUCCUCUGUGCUGGCAGGAACACCUACAAAUACUUAGAGCUGAACCAGCACUGAGACCACCCAAGAUGGCGGAUAAGGACCCAAAAUGAAUACCAGGUGGACACUGGCACUGCGCUUAAAAGAUGGAGGAGGUCUUUAAGAAGCCUGAAUGACCUGAUAACACUCUACCCAGAGAUGCAGGAGUCCAUUGAGCUGGAGGAUCAGAGGACAUUUAUGAGCCUCCUGAAAUGUCUUCUGCACAUGGACCCUGAGAAGAGGAUCAGUCCUGAGAGAGUCUCCAGCACCCCUUCGUCACAUUGGCGCACCUGGAGGCUGAGAGGGACACCAGCAUGUAUUUGUGUGUAGGUACAACUUGGCUCCUGGGCUUCUGGAACUGACUGUAAGCUAACUUUGUCAUUCUGCUACUGGGGUGGUCAACCGCCUGCCACAUCGUUAGCUACCACAAGCUCACCUGCUCAUCCCGCCGAGAUCCUUCCGUCCCGGUGUGGUAAGCCCUGUAGGUUUUCUCCGCUAGCCACCACGGCACCAGGUUGACCUCCAUCCUCAGGGUAGGUGCAAGGCUAGCAGACCAGUAGCCCUUCCAGGCUACCGCACCUCCUCAACACGCUGUUGGUUCCUGCCGCUGUAAUGCUGUGGAUCAUUCUGUGGAUACUCUUGGGGUGCAUAUGGCUUCUUCCCCUGGACACCUUGUGCUUUUGGUCACAAGCCCACGCUAAUUCUGUGCUAGCACUCUCCAUUCAGAACAUGCCAGCGCUGUAUUCCGCCUCAGAUCUUCAUAAUCUCAACAACAACCUGCGACCGGACUGCUUGGACAUUCUUUAAUCAAACAGGAUUACUAUGCAAACGGCAUCCUACACACAGAGGCUCUGGUUGUUUGUUUACCUACAACUUCACGUCCCCUAACUCCAUCCCAUCCCUCUGGUCUCAUCGCGGUGUAACUUCUGCAUUAUGUCAUUGUGAAUCUGUCCAAUCUCCGUCUCCUUCCUCGGUCCUCACAACCGAUCAUAAAGCAACAUCAUCUGAAACUGGCCUUGCUCAAACCUCGUUCACUCAACAAUAAAAGUCUCAUUCUGAAUGAGUUCAUAACUGACAAUAACCUGGAUUUCCUCUGCCUCACUGAGACCUGGCACAAACCCCUGGACUAUUUCUCACUAAACCAGAGCACUACCACAGGACUGACAUACAGUGCUGUGAAAAAUAUUUCCCCCCUUCCUGAUUUCUUACUUUUUGCACAUUUGUCACACUGAAGUGUUUCAGAUCAUCAAACUAAUUUUAAUAGAUAACCUGAGUAAAUACAAAAUUUUGGUCCACUAUUCUUUGCAGUUGUUUUAAUUCAAUUGGAUUUAAGUCUGGACUUUGACUAGGCCAAUCCAAAUCCUUCAUUUCUGUUUUAAGCCAUUCAGAGGUGGACCUGCUGGUGUGUUUCGGAUCAUUGUCCUGCUGCAUAACCCAAGUGUGCUCGAGCUUGAGGUCACAAACAGAUGGCCGGACAUUCUCCUUCAGGAUUUUCUGGUAGAGAGCAGAAUUCAUGGUUCCAUCAAUUAUGGGAAGUGGUCCAGGUCCUGAAGCAGCAAAGCAGCCCCAGACCAUCACACUACCACCACCAUGUUUGACCGAUGGUAUGAUGUUCUUUUUAUGAAAUGCUGCUUUAGUUUUACACCUGAUGUAACAGGAUGCACACCUUCCAAAAAGUUCAACUUUUGUCUCGUCAGUCCACAGAACAUUUUCCCAAAAGUCUUGGGGAUCAUCAAGAUGUUUUUUGGUAAAUGUGAGGCGAGCCUUUGUGUUCUUUUUGGUCAGCAGUGGGUUUCACCUUGGAACUCUCCCAUGGAUGACAUUUUUGCUCUGUCUCUUUCUUAUUGUUUAAUCAUAAACACUGACCUCAACUGAGGAAAGGGAUGCCUGCAGUUCUUUAGAUGUUGUUCUGAGUUCGCUAGAGUCCCAAAACCCUUUCCAGACUGAUAGAUGUCAAUGAUUUUGUUUUUCAUCUGUUCUUGAAUUUCUUAACAUCGUACCAUGAUGUGUUGCUUUUUGGGAUCUUUUAGUUUACUUCAAUUGGCAGACAGUUUCUAUUCAAGUUGUUUCUUGAUUCAAAAGGUCUGGCAGUAAUCAGGCCUGGGUGUGGCUAGUGAAAUUGAACUCAGCUUUCCAAACAAUUUGGUUAAUCACAGUUCAUUAACAAGGGGAGGGGGGGGCAAU